GACGAACGCUGGCGGCGUGCUUAACACAUGCAAGUCGAACGGAAAGGCCCUGCUUUUGUGGGGUGCUCGAGUGGCGAACGGGUGAGUAACACGUGAGUAACCUGCCCUUGACUUUGGGAUAACUUCAGGAAACUGGGGCUAAUACCGGAUAGGAGCUCCUGCUGCAUGGUGGGGGUUGGAAAUUUUCGGCGGUUGGGGAUGGACUCGCGGCUUAUCAGCUUGUUGGUGGGGUAGUGGCUUCCCCAUGCUUUGACGGGUAGCUGGCCUGAGAGGGUGAACGGCCACAAGGGGACUGAGAGACGGACCAGACUCCGACGGGAGGCAGCAGUGGGGAAUAUGGCACAGUGAGCGGAAGCCGGAUGAAGAAACGCCGCGUGCGGGAUGACGGCCUUCGGGUUGUAAAAAGCUUUCGCCUGUGACGACGCGUGAGUGACGGUACUGGGUAAAGAAGCACCGGCGAACUACGU
rnacentral:rRNA from 1 species